rnacentral:rRNA from 1 species
GCCGUUAGGUGGUGCACUGACUGGUCUCAGCUUCCUGGGUGAGGAGGUGGGGCUUUAUCGCCACUUAGUCACCGUGGUUACUUUGAAAAAAUUAGAGUGGUUCAAAGCGGGCUUACGCUUGAAUAUAUUAGCAUGGAAUAACACCAUAGGACUCCUGUCCUAUUUCGUUGGUCUCGGGACGGGAGUAAUGAUUAAGAGGAACAGUUGGGGGCAUUCGUAUUUCAUUGUCAGAGGUGAAAUUCUUGGAUUUAUGAAAGACGAACUUCUGCGAAAGCAUUUGCCAAGGAUGUUUUCAUUGAUCAAGAACGAAAGUUGGGGGCUCGAAGAUGAUUAGAUACCAUCCUAGUCUCAACCAUAAACGAUGCCGACUAGGGAUUGGCGGAUGUUAAUUGAUGACUUCGCCAGCACCUUAUGAGAAAUCAAAGUUUUUGGGUUCCGGGGGGAGUAUGGUCGCAAGGCUGAAACUUAAAGGAAUUGACGGAAGGGCACCACCAGGCGUGGAGCCCUGCGGCUUAAUUUGACUCAACACGGGGAAACUUACCAGGUCCAGACAUAGUAAGGAUUGACAGAUUGGAGAGCUCUUUCUUGAUUCUAUGGGUGGUGGUGCAUGGGCCGGUCUUAGUUGGGUGGAGUGAUUUGUCUUGGUUAAUU